rnacentral:rRNA from 1 species
AUUGAACGCUGGCGGCAUGCCUAACACAUGCAAGUCGAACGGCAGCACAGUGUGUAGCAAUACACAUGGGUGGCGAGUGGCGGACGGGUGAGGAAUACAUAGGAAUCUGCCCUGUAGCGGGGGAUAGUCCGGGGAAACUCGGGGUAAUACCGCAUACGACCUACGGGUGAAAGAGGGGGAUCGUAAGACCUCUCACUAUAGGAUGAGCCUAUGUCGGAUUAGCUAGUUGGUGGGGUAAAGGCCUACCAAGGCGACGAUCCGUAGCUGGUCUGAGAGGACGACCAGCCACACCGGAACUGAGACACGGUCCGGACUCCUACGGGAGGCAGCAGUGGGGAAUAUUGGACAAUGGGGAAACCCCUGUCCAGCAAUGCCGCGUGUGUGAAGAAGGCCUCGGGUUGUAAGCACUUAGGCCGGGAAGAAAAGCAUCACCUAAUACGUGAAGCCUUGACGGUACCGGCGGAAUAAGCACCGGCUAACUCUGUGCCAGCAGCCGCGGUAAUACAGAGGGUGCAAGCGUUAAUCGGA